CAGCAGCCGCGGGAAUACGAAGGGGGCUAGCGUUGUUCGGAAUUACUGGGCGUAAAGCGCACGUAGGCGGUUACUCAAGUCAGAGGUGAAAGCCCGGGGCUCAACCCCGGAACUGCCUUUGAAACUAGGUGACUAGAAUCUUGGAGAGGUCAGUGGAAUUCCGAGUGUAGAGGUGAAAUUCGUAGAUAUUCGGAAGAACACCAGUGGCGAAGGCGACUGACUGGACAAGUAUUGACGCUGAGGUGCGAAAGCGUGGGGAGCAAACAGGAUUAGAUACCCCCGUAGUCCCUGUCUCUUAUAC
rnacentral:rRNA from 1 species